rnacentral:lncRNA from 1 species
ACCAGCUAUUGGCUCAGUCAUGCCCCUGCAGAGAUGAUUAAGAAUCAGAGGUGGUCCUCUGCACCUGGCCGCACCUCUCCCAGCUCACACAAGAGAAAGGCUGGAACUCUCCAGGUGUGACAGGACCCAACCUAAUGGCAGGAGGAAACCCAGGAAGCAGGUGAUAAGCCUAAUGAAGACAUCCAUGGUGCCAAGCUGCUCCUGUCGUGGCUUGGAUUGGAUCUGGGCACAGGGAGCCUCCAGGCUGGGCCUGUCAAAGCCCUUAGCAGCCCCCACGUCAAGAACAAUAUGACCACACAAACUAUACCACCAACCACAGCCAGGCGGAGCCCAAGGUUAGCUAUACUACCUCACUUUUGUUUUUGGUGAGAACCCAUAAAAUACACUAUCAUAG